UACAGAGGGUGCUAGCGUUGUUCGGAAUCAUUGGGCGUAAAGGGCGUGUAGGCGGUUUGUUAAGUCAUGUGUGAAAUCCCUCGGCUCAACCGGGGAACGACGCAUGAAACUGGCAGCUAGAGUACCAAAGAGGGGGGGUGGAAUUCCCCGGUGUAGCGGUGAAAUGCGUAGAUAUCGGGAGGAACACCUGUGGCGAAGGCGGCCCCCUGGUUGGAUACUGACGCUGAUACGCGAAAGCGUGGGGGAGCAAACAGG
rnacentral:rRNA from 1 species